UAAAAGGCCCUUUUAAGGGCCACCCACUCGAUCUUAAUAGAGCUUU
rnacentral:ncRNA from 1 species